GUGCUCGCUUCGGUAGCACAUAUACUAAAAUUGGAAUGAUACAGAGAAAGUUAGCAUGGCCCCUGCGCAAGGAUGACAUGCAAAUUUGUGAAGCAUUCCAUACUUUU
ensembl:snRNA Gm26055 predicted gene, 26055